rnacentral:rRNA from 1 species
ACGAACGCUGGCGGCGUGGAUAAGACAUGCAAGUCGAACGGGAGAAUUGCUAGCUUGCUAAUAAUUCUCUAGUGGCGCACGGGUGAGUAACACGUGAGUAACCUGCCUCUUAGUGGGGGAUAGCCCUGGGAAACCGGGAUUAAUACCGCAUACGAUUGAAAGAUCAAAGCAGCAAUGCGCUAGGAGAUGGGCUCGCGGCCUAUUAGUUAGUUGGUGAGGUAACGGCUCACCAAGGCGAUGACGGGUAGCCGGUCUGAGAGGAUGUCCGGCCACACUGGAACUGAGACACGGUCCAGACACCUACGGGUGGCAGCAGUCGAGAAUCAUUCACAAUGGGGGCAACCCUGAUGGUGCGACGCCGCGUGGGGGAAUGAAGGUCUUCGGAUUGUAAACCCCUGUCAUGUGGGAGCAAAUUAAAAAGAUAGUACCACAAGAGGAAGAGACGGCUAACUCUGUGCCAGCAGCCGCGGUAAUACAGAGGUCUCAAGCGUUGGUCGGAAUCACUGGGCGUAAAGCGUGCGUAGGCUGUUUCGUAAGUCGUGUGUGAAAGGCAGGGGCUCAACCCCUGGAUUGCACAUGAUACUGCGAGACUAGAGUAAUGGAGGGGGAACCGGAAUUCUCGGUGUAGCAGUGAAAUGCGUAGAUAUCGAGAGGAACACUCGUGGCGAAGGCGGGUUCCUGGACAUUAACUGACGCUGAGGCACGAAGGCCAGGGGAGCGAAAGGGAUUAGAUACCCCUGUAGUCCUGGCAGUAAACGGUGCACGCUUGGUGUGCGGGGAAUCGACCCCCUGCGUGCCGGAGCUAACGCGUUAAGCGUGCCGCCUGGGGAGUACGGUCGCAAGAUUAAAACUCAAAGAAAUUGACGGGGACCCGCACAAGCGGUGGAGUAUGUGGCUUAAUUCGAUGCAACGCGAAGAACCUUACCUGGGCUUGACAUGUAAUGAACAACAUGUGAAAGCAUGCGACUCUUCGGAGGCGUUACACAGGUGCUGCAUGGCCGUCGUCAGCUCGUGUCGUGAGAUGUUUGGUUAAGUCCAGCAACGAGCGCAACCCCUGUUGCCAGUUACCAGCACGUCAAGGUGGGGACUCUGGCGAGACUGCCCAGAUCAACUGGGAGGAAGGUGGGGACGACGUCAGGUCAGUAUGGCCCUUAUGCCCAGGGCUGCACACGUACUACAAUGCCCAGUACAGAGGGGGCCGAAGCCGCGAGGCGGAGGAAAUCCUGAAAACUGGGCCCAGUUCGGACUGUAGGCUGCAACCCGCCUACACGAAGCCGGAAUCGCUAGUAAUGGCGCAUCAGCUACGGCGCCGUGAAUACGUUCCCGGGUCUUGUACACACCGCCCGUCACAUCAUGGAAGCCGGUCGCACCCGAAGUAUCUGAAGCCAACCGCAAGGAGGCAGGGUCCUAAGGUGAGACUGGUAACUGGGAUG